rnacentral:rRNA from 1 species
UACGAAGGGGGCUAGCGUUGCUCGGAAUUACUGGGCGUAAAGGGCGCGUAGGCCGCACGGUAAGUCAGAUGUGAAAUCCCCGGGCUCAACCUGGGAACUGCAUUUGUGACUGCACGGCUGGAGUGCGGCAGAGGGGGAUGGAAUUCCGCGUGUAGCAGUGAAAUGCGUAGAUAUGCGGAGGAACACCGAUGGCGAAGGCAAUCCCCUGGGCCUGCACUGACGCUCAUGCACGAAAGCGUGGGGAGCAAACAGG